AUCUCUAACUUCACUUGUUCUUAUCAGUUUAAUACUUGAUAUGUCCUUUGUCUGAGGACAAUAUAAUAAAUGGAUUUUUGGAGGCUGGAGAUGGAUUAGGGACUUGCUCCAUCUACCUUAUGCAUUGUUCUGGUAUUGCAGUACCUCCAGGAAAUGUUGCAUCCUCU
rnacentral:snRNA from 1 species